rnacentral:rRNA from 1 species
CCUACGGGAGGCAGCAGUGGGGAAUAUUGCACAAUGGGGGGAACCCUGAUGCAGCGACGCCGCGUGGGUGAAGGAGUAUUUCGGUAUGUAAAGCCCUAUCAGCAGGGAAGUACAAUGACGGUACCUGACUAAGAAGCCCCGGCUAACUACGUGCCAGCAGCCGCGGUAAUACGUAGGGGGCAAGCGUUAUCCGGAUUUACUGGGUGUAAAGGGAGCGUAGACGGUGCAGCAAGUCUGAUGUGAAAGGUCGGGUCCCAACCACGGGACUGCAUUGGAAACUGUUGAACUGGAGUACAGGAGAGGUAAGCGGAAUUCCUAGUGUAGCGGUGAAAUGCGUAGAUAUUACGAGGAACACCAGUGGCGAAGGCGGCUUACUAGACUGUAACUGACGUUGAGGCUCGAAAGCGUGGGGAGCAAACAGGAUUAGAUACCCCAGUAGUC